rnacentral:rRNA from 1 species
GGAGACCUGUAUGAACGGCAAAACCUUUUCAAACUGUCUCCCUCCCUAACCUUUUAAACUCCUUUUUACGCGAAGAAGCGUGAAUACAUCAGAAAGACGAGAAGACCCUGUCGAGCUUCAGCCAAUAAGUGAGCCAACAAAACCUAUGUGUUAGCAUCACCCAAAGGCUUUGGUUGGGGUAACCAUGGAGAACACUAAUCCUCCAGAACAAGCAGACGAACUCUCUUCCCUACUAAACGAGCUAAAGAACCAGGAACUGGUAAUCGGAAAAAGUUACCGCAGGGAUAACAGCGUCAUCCCCUUUAAGAGUCCUUAUUGACAAGGGGGUUUGCGACCUCGAUGUUGGAUUGGGGCCCCCUUAGGGUGCAGAAGCUCUAAACGGUUAGACUGUUCGUCUAUUAAAGCCCUACGUGAUCUGAGC